GGUGGGAUGGGCUAGAACAGAUAAUACACACUUGUGCUUGGGAAGAGUUAAUGAAAUGCCCACCUAUCAUCAGUUGGUCAAUCUUAUGGGACAAUGCAUCUACCUUGCUAGAUAGGUUCAUAGAAUGACUUAUUUCACAAAUGGUCCCUUUUCUUUGAGAACUCGGGGGUGCUUGACGAGAACAGAAAGCAUGAUGGAGGGAGUUUUCAUUAAGAUUUUCAAAUAAUUGCCAUGCUUC
rnacentral:lncRNA from 1 species